UACGGAGGGUGCAAGCGUUGCUCGGAAUUAUUGGGCGUAAAGGGUAGGUAGGUGGUCUCAUUUGUCUGGGGUGAAAGCCUUGAGCUUAACUCAAGAAGUGCCCCAGAAACGGUGAGACUAGAGUCUUGGAGAGGGUCGUGGAAUUCCCGGUGUAGCGGUGAAAUGCGUAGAGAUCGGGAGGAACACCAGAGGCGAAGGCGGCGACCUGGACAAGUACUGACACUGAGACGCGAAAGCGUGGGGAGCGAACAGG
rnacentral:rRNA from 1 species